ensembl:snoRNA SNORD115 Small nucleolar RNA SNORD115
UCUCCUGUUGAAGAGAGAUGAUGACCUAAAAAUCAUGUUCAAUAGGAUUA